rnacentral:rRNA from 1 species
GACGAACCGAGCGAACGUUGUUCGGAAUCACUGGGCUUAAAGGGCGCGUAGGCGGGUGCUCAAGUCCGGGGUGAAAUCCCACAGCUCAACUGUGGAACUGCCUCGGAUACUGGGUGUCUCGAGGGUGGCAGGGGUAUGCGGAACUAUCGGUGGAGCGGUGAAAUGCGUUGAUAUCGAUAGGAACUCCGGUGGCGAAGGCGGCAUACUGGUCCACUUCUGACGCUGAGGCGCGAAAGCCAGGGGAGCAAACGGG